rnacentral:rRNA from 1 species
UCGAGGGGUAUGGCAGCAAUGCCAGAGACCGGCGCACGGGUGCGUAACGCGUAUGCAAUCUGCCUUUCACAGAGGGAUAGCCCAGAGAAAUUUGGAUUAAUACCUCAUAGCAUAAUGAGUUGGCAUCAACACAUUAUUAAAGUCACAACGGUGAAAGAUGAGCAUGCGUCCCAUUAGCUAGUUGGUAAGGUAACGGCUUACCAAGGCGACGAUGGGUAGGGGUCCUGAGAGGGAGAUCCCCCACACUGGUACUGAGACACGGACCAGACUCCUACGGGAGGCAGCAGUGAGGAAUAUUGGUCAAUGGGCGCAAGCCUGAACCAGCCAUGCCGCGUGCAGGAUGACGGUCCUAUGGAUUGUAAACUGCUUUUGUACGGGAAGAAACAGCGAUUCGUGAAUCGCCUUGACGGUACCGUAAGAAUAAGGAUCGGCUAACUCCGUGCCAGCAGCCGCGGUAAUACGGAGGAUCCAAGCGUUAUCCGGAAUCAUUGGGUUUAAAGGGUCCGUAGGCGGUUUUGUAAGUCAGUGGUGAAAGCCCAUCGCUCAACGGUGGAACGGCCAUUGAUACUGCAAGACUUGAAUUAUUAGGAAGUAACUAGAAUAUGUAGUGUAGCGGUGAAAUGCUUAGAGACUACAUGGAAUACCAAUUGCGAAGGCAGGUUACUACUAAUGGAUUGACGCUGAUGGACGAAAGCGUGGGUAGCGAACAGGAUUAGAUACCCUGGUAGUCCACGCCGUANACGAUGGAUACUAGCUGUUGGGNGCGAUCU